rnacentral:rRNA from 1 species
UGGCCUUGACAUACUAAGAACUUUCCAGAGAUGGAUUGGUGCCUUCGGGAACUUAGAUACAGGUGCUGCAUGGCUGUCGUCAGCUCGUGUCGUGAGAUGUUGGGUUAAGUCCGCAACGAGCGCAACCCUUUUCCUUAUUUGCCAGCGGGUAAUGCCGGGAACUUUAAGGAUACUGCCAGUGACAAACUGGAGGAAGGCGGGGACGACGUCAAGUCAUCAUGGCCCUUACGGCCAGGGCUACACACGUGCUACAAUGGUCGGUACAAAGGGUUGCUACCUCGCGAGAGGAUGCUAAUCUCAAAAAGCCGAUCGUAGUCCGGAUCGCAGUCUGCAACUCGACUGCGUGAAGUCGGAAUCGCUAGUAAUCGCGGAUCAGAAUGCCGCGGUCGAAUACGUUCCCGGGCCUUGUACACACCGCCCGUCACACCAUGGGAGUUUGUUGCACCAGAAGUAGGUAGUCUAACCGCAAGGAGGACGCUUACCACGGUGUGGCCGAUGACUGGGGUGAAGUCGUAACAAGGUAGGCGUAGAUGA